CUUGUCUCCGGGCUAUGAGUCGAUGCAUGGGAGUCGCCAUCUUAGCGCGGCUGAGGUAUGCCGCGCUGAAUUUUGGGAAACUCCUCGGAAAGGGGCGGGGCUUCGAACGCAGAGGACGCAGGCGUGGGCGGAGCUAGCUCCGCCUCCGCGGCUUCUGGGCGGGGCGUGGAGCUGGGUCAGAGGUGUGGGCGUUUGGUUCGCCGAGGGAUGAGGUCGGGGGUCUGGUCUGAAUGGGGUUUGGAAGGGUCGGUACUUGUCCUGUUGACCCUGGAACGACACGGAUUCGAACAGUGCGGGUCCGCUUAUACACGGGUUUCCCCCUCACAAUAAAUACAGUUGUUCCUGCCUA